UCCACAUGAAAUGAAUACCAAAGAAUGUUUUCUUAAAGGCAUCUUAAAGAAUGAAGCAAAGUUCCUUAAUUUAAAGUACUAUUACUGUAAAACCAACAUAGUAGGAAAUCUCAUUCAAUACCUAUAAAUCCAUCAAUCUCAUACAUAACGUAUUGGUUAAAUAAUGAAAAUUAUCAAAAUUACAACCGAUUUAAUAACAUAAACAACAACACUGCAUACAUAACAUUAACAAUUAUGACAAAUCGUUGAGUUAGUUGCAAUUGACGCAUUUCAAUCUUCACCAUCGCUAAUUCGUUGGAGUCGUUAGUAUUCGUUGGAUGAGUUGUUUCAUUUAAACGCUCGGAUGUGUCCAUCUGCAACCUCCCUUGAUUAUGCAACACUCGAACAUAUUCGUUACACCAACUGAGAAGUUACCACAUUGCUGCAUAUUUUGAGACACAAUAAAUUUAUUCACUUGUGUAAAAGGAACAAAUAUACAAAAAUUGCAAUACAAUUAAACACAAAAUAGUCGAGAAAUGAUUCUAUACAAUAUUACUUUAGACAAGAAAGGAUUAUUUUAUAGAUGUAGACGAGAGUGUUGGGCCUAAAGACUAGUAAUCCUCUACUAAAUAAAAACAAGGAAAAGAAAGUGCAGGAAUAAAACAAAGGUGUUAAUGUGCAACAUGCUGACUUUUGUUAUGAACAAAUAUGUUAUCCAAAGUUUCAUAAGCCCCAAGUGUUAGUCAAUGUUGGCCCCAAAAACUGACUAUACAUGUAUUCAAUAAAGGUGACAGUGUCAGAGUAUGACAUACAUUGCAAGACAAGUUCAGAAUUUAAUUGACCAUUUUGAUCAACAAUAUAUCAAUUGUUUUGCUUUAUUCAAGGUAGUCUCUCUUUUCGGCAUUUACAUCUCACUCAUUUUUCCAGCAUUUUGUACUACACGUUUACAUAGAUCAGCAGUGAACAUCAUCAAUAAAAGGGAGUAUUCUACAGAGCCAAUGUAUCUCAUCCCAAACAAUUGAAGUUCAAAGAGUUAGUGAGAGAGAGAAGCUCAUUCUAGUAUACUCUUUAGAGUUUUGUAUAUACCCAAUUGUGCUAAUUAUCCUGCAAGGAUUAUUUGGUGUAUUUGGGGUUUGGAUCGAGUGUUUGAGGUUCUACCCCUUAUGUAUUCAUAAUUUCUCAUAGUGAAUACUUUCUCAAGCAACUAAAUUUUCCUAUCACUACUAAACCCAUGUGAACCAUUUGACCAUCGGAUAGAGAUUGGCAUUAUCAAAUGAAAGUAUUACUUCAUCCAAAACAAUAAUGCUAACAACACAUUCAGUGAAGGCAUAUAUCAUUUUGCUAACACAAAUCAAAUAAGUAUAUAUUUGCUAACCAAAACCAAACAUGAAAAAACACCUAAUUCCUUUAAAAUUAGUCAUCAAAAUUCAAAAGUACUAAAAAUCAAAAAAUGACAACCACUCCGUCAUAAAUCACCCAUUUCCCUGCCAUUCACUCUCCAACCAUAAAUCAAACCAGAUAUCAGAAAUGCUCAAGUACAACUUCAUGUCUGUUCUCACUCAAAUUUUUGGUCAUUUCUCCAAAUCUAAUUGUUCUUGAAACCCAAAACAAACCUUAGAUUUCUUUCAAAUCAAACAGAAAUUACAAAAGUAAGUAGGAAUCCUUACCUUUCGAUUUGCAACACCACCUGUUCAAUUUGCUUCAGCUGAUAGAGAGAGAGGGACAGGGUCGCUGAUAGAGAGCGAGAGAGGGAAGAGCGAUGUGAAGUAAUGUACUGAUAUAUGGCAUGGGUUUAAUUUUUGACCCAUGUAUUUUUUUUUGACCCGCGUGUCCUUUCUUUGGUUCAGCUAAUAAGUUUAGUCCAUUUUUUAG
rnacentral:lncRNA from 1 species